CUUCCCCCUGGGACCGGACUCCUUGUAAUCAUCCUUACUCUUUGCUGUUCCUGCUCCUGCCACAGGGUCAGUCUACUGGAGCAAGUGCUGCUUCUACUUCACUGGUGAUUUCCAUUUGUUCAGCGGCUAUACCUGUGAAUGUCUGGAAAAGGCCAACUUGGGAAAGAGUUACUUCAGCAGAUGCUUCUCUCCUUAAGGAAUUUUAUAAACAAGAGUAGCCUCCUGUUUUCUGCUGUUUUUCUUGGAUUAAAAAAAUCAAUUGAUUUAAUAAACCAAAUAUUAAA
rnacentral:lncRNA from 1 species